rnacentral:rRNA from 1 species
GACGGACGCUGGCGGCGCGCUUAACACAUGCAAGUCGAACGGAAAGGCCUGCUUUCCCUUGUGGAUUGCGGGUACUCGAGUGGCGAACGGGUGAGUAACACGUGAGUGAUCUGCCCCCAACUUGGGUAUAAGCCUGGGAAACUGGGUCUAAUUCCCGAUAGGACUGCAGGGUGGUGCCUGUGGUGGAAAACGAUUUUCUAGUGGUUGGGGAUGAGCUCGCGGCCUAUCAGCUUGUUGGUGGGGUAAUGGCCUACCAAGGCGGCGACGGGUAGCCGGCCUGAGAGGGUGGACGGACACAUUGGGACUGAGAUACGGCCCAGACUCCUACGGGAGGCAGCAGUGGGGAAUAUUGCACAAUGGGCGGAAGCCUGAUGCAGCGACGCCGCGUGGGGGAUGACGGCCUUCGGGUUGUAAACUCCUUUCGACCGCGAGGAAGCCACCUGGUUGGAAGGGUGGUGACGGUAGUGGUAGAAGAAGCACCGGCUAACUACGUG